AACGAACGCUGGCGGCAUGCCUAACACAUGCCAGUCGAACGAGACCUUCGGCUCUAGUGGCGCACGGGUGCGUAACGCGUGGGAACCUGCCCUUAGGUUCGGAAUAACUCCCCGAAAGGGGUGCUAAUACCGGAUAAUGUCUUCGGACCAAAGAUUUAUCGCCUUUGGAUGGGCCCGCGUUGGAUUAGCUAGUUGGUAGGGUAAAAGCCUACCAAGGCGACGAUCCAUAGCUGGUCUGAGAGGAUGAUCAGCCACACUGGGACUGAGACACGGCCCAGACUCCUACGGGAGGCAGCAGUGGGGAAUAUUGGACAAUGGGCGAAAGCCUGAUCCAGCAAUGCCGCGUGAGUGAUGAAGGCCUUAGGGUUGUAAAGCUCUUUUACCCGGGAUGAUAAUGGCAGUACCGGGAGAAUAAGCUCCGGCUAACUCCGUG
rnacentral:rRNA from 1 species